rnacentral:rRNA from 1 species
UACAGAGGGGGCAAGCGUUGUUCGGAAUUACUGGGCGUAAAGGGCGCGUAGGUGGCCUUCUAAGUUGAACGUGAAAUCCCUGGGCUCAACCCAGGAACUGCGUCCAAGACUGGGAGGCUUGAAUCCGGGAGAGGGAUGCGGAAUUCCAGGUGUAGCGGUGAAAUGCGUAGAUAUCUGGAGGAACACCGGUGGCGAAGGCGGCGUUCUGGACUGCAACUGACACUGAUGAACGAAAGCCAGGGGAGCAAACGGG